AACAGUUUGUUAAUUGUAGAGUAAAACUCUUCUCAUUUGGAUUUGAAGGUGGUUUCGGGAUCUCAACAAAAUGCAGCAGGAUCAGCGGAAGAAGAAUACAACGGAGAUGGACUUCUUCACGGAGUAUGGCGAUGCCAAUAGAUACAAGAUUCAAGAAGUCGUGGGUAAGGGAAGUUAUGGAGUUGUUUGCUCGGCAAUUGAUACACACACUGGACAGAAGGUGGCG
rnacentral:misc_RNA from 1 species